AGCUUUGCGCAGUGGCAGUAUUGUAGCCAAUGAGGUUUAUCCGAGGCGCGAUUAUUGCUUAUUGAAAACUGUCCUUAUUAUAUCGAACCUAAGUCUGUAUCUGUUAAUCUUAAAUUAGAUUAUUAGACUUCUACCUCUAAA